GGAGGACUAAACGCAAAAAUUCCCCUUUUAAAGUGAGAAUGCGUGGAUCAAGCCAACGCAUUGAUUUCCCUCCCCCCUCUUUUAAUGGUGCCUUUUGAAUUUUCAUUAAAACCUUUAUCAUUAUUAUUAUUUUUUUUACCUUACAAAUCCCUUUUCUAAACAAACCCCAAAAGUCUCAACCCCCUCUGUUAGGGUUUCACCCAAACAUGACGCCGGACCACCACCAUAUCUGGUUGCCGACGGUGCGAAAAAAUGGCCUAAGACCAUGACCACGAAGCCCUGAAAAUAAAAGGGAGAGUUUUAUCACACAAGAAAGCAAAGGGCCUCAACCCCAUUUCGGGUCCGAAUCCAAAGACGGGGGAAAUCUCCGAUGGCACGGCCACGAGGUAAGUCCCUCUCCUCUCUUAGUUGCGUGUAAAAAAAGAAAAUGUCACAAGAAAAUCAAAAUAGACUAAAAAUAAAGAAAAUCCAGAAAUCAAAUCACCUUUUUGAAAUAGCCUUCUUUUUGGAUUAAUACUCUCUGCUUCUUUUCUUUCCAAAAAAUCCCCCCUUUUUUGCAUUCGCUUUUUUCUUUGGCUUUAUAGCCAAGAAUAUUACAAAUACAUUAUCCAUGUUCUACUGCUUCUGCUUUGCGUGUUUCUCUUUCGUUUUGUAGGGCUAAGCGGGAUCAACGGAAAGGGAGCAGGUAGUGGUACAGGCGAUGGGACGGGGCGCCUAUCUCGGGCGUUGAACGCGCUGACAGCACGUGAGGAGCAGCGCCUAAUGUGCUGGUAUGAAACCCUAGGGUUUCCUGGUUUAGUCUUUUAGGCCUAUUGGGGCCCCCAAUAGAAAUUGGGUCAGAUUUUUUUUAAAAUGGAUUUGGGUUUAUUGGGCUUGGAUUUGUAAAAUGGACUGUUAACAAUUAUUUUUUGGGUUGUUGGGCCUCGGGCAAAUUUGGGCCUCUACAAAUAUAAUAGACACAAUUGAAUAUUUAAAACCACAUUUAUUCAUACUAUGACAUUAGCCAUACAA